rnacentral:rRNA from 1 species
UACGUAGGGUGCGAGCGUUGUCCGGAAUUAUUGGGCGUAAAGAGCUCGUAGGCGGCCUAUUGCGUCUGCUGUGAAAGCCCGGGGCUUAACCCCGGGUCUGCAGUGGAUACGGGCAGGCUAGAGUUCGGCAGGGGAGACUGGAAUUCCUGGUGUAGCGGUGAAAUGCGUAGAUAUCGGAAGGAACACCAAUGGCGAAGGCAGCCGCCUGGGCCUGAUCUGACACUGAGACACGAAAGCGUGGGGAUCAAACAGG